rnacentral:rRNA from 1 species
AACGAACGCUGGCGGCAUGCCUAACACAUGCAAGUCGAACGAGCCCUUCGGGUCUAGUGGCGCACGGGUGCGUAACGCGUGGGAACCUGCCCUUAGGUUCGGAAUAACUCCCCGAAAGGGGUGCUAAUACCGGAUAAUGUCUUCGGCCCAAAGAUUUAUCGCCUUUGGAUGGGCCCGCGUUGGAUUAGCUAGUUGGUAGGGUAAAAGCCUACCAAGGCGACGAUCCAUAGCUGGUCUGAGAGGAUGAUCAGCCACACUGGGACUGAGACACGGCCCAGACUCCUACGGGAGGCGGCAGUGGGGAAUAUUGCACAAUGGGCGAAAGCCUGAUCCAGCAAUGCCGCGUGAGUGAUGAAGGCCUUAGGGUUGUAAAGCGCUUUUACCCGGGAUGAUAAUGACAGUACCGGGAGAAUAAGCUCCGGCUAACUCCGUG